rnacentral:rRNA from 1 species
GCGCACCAGGCGAGAAACCUCCACAAUGCGGGAAACCGUGAUGGGGGGAAUCCGAGUGCCCGUUGGCUAAUGCUGGCGGGCUUUUCUCAAGCGUAAAAGGCUUGAGGAAUAAGGACUGGGUAAGACCGGUGCCAGCCGCCGCGGUAACACCGGCGGUCCAACUGGUGAUCAGCAUUAUUGGGUCUAAAGCGUCCGUAGCCGGAUGGUUGAUUUCGAGUGAAACUUCCCCAGCUUAACGUGGGGGGCUGCUUGAAA